rnacentral:lncRNA from 1 species
AUAUAUAUAUAUUCGAGCUUUUCGAGCUUUUCGAGCCUAAUUCGAACGAGCCGAGUAAUACUCAAGCUCGGCUUGAAAUGAAUUUCGAGCCUUUUAUUUUGUUCAAGCUCGGCUCAUUUAAUUUCGAGUCGAGCUCGAGCGAGCCGGAUAUCAAGCCGAACACGAGUCGAACGCGAGCCGGCUCGCUCGUUUGCCAGCCCUAAGUAUGAUUAUAUGUCUAGAAUUUGGUAUUAUAUUCAGCCUUUAAAAUUUUUUUUGUGAAUAAGAUAAAUCACUUUGUAAGUAGGAUGUGCUAUCCUACUAAUAAUGAAUAUCAAGACCUUUUAGGUUAUGUUUGAAGGCAUGAAUAUAUCGUUCAGUGAACCUUUUUAAUUUGUUCAAUAAAUUUGUAUGUUUAAUUAAUAAGAAGUGUGAUCAAAUGUUUAGAAUAAAAUAUCACAUUCAGGCUUUAAUUUUUUUUUUCAAGAAAAAAAUAAAUUAUUUCGUAGAUGAAAUAAACUAUCUCAUCAAAUUAUAAAUAGCAAGAUCUACAUAAAUAAAAACCAAACUAUUUACUUAUAACCAUACUAAAAAAUCCUAAUGCGGAAUAAGUUAUUCAAAUAUAACUUAUUUCGAUAUUCAAACAGAACUUUAAAAAAUAAAAAUCAAAUUUAUUUUUUAUAAUUACACUAAAAUAUUUUUAUACAAAAAAACAGUUUUGAAUAAUUUAUUUUGACCUCUAAAUAAGACGUAGGCGUAUCUAACGUUAUUAGAUAAAAUAGAGUUGGGGUAAAAAAAAUAUAGUGAUAUAUUUUUGCGCUCUCCGGUGGGACUACAUAAAUAUAUUGUAACCAACUAAUUACGAUAUGCGGAACAUGAUAUUAUGUAUAAAAAUAAAAAAGAUAUUUUUUUCAUCGUACUUUUUUACUAAAAAUAACACAAUCUCGCCGCAAUCUCAAAUGAAGCUAU